UGCGAAAAGAGGAAGAAAGGAGAUAUUUGUGUGGACUGACAGGAUAGACCUUUUGCUUCAGAACGAAAGUCCAGAUCACUGCCAAGUGAUGGGACGAACAACACUGGUGCGUCAGCACUGUGGCGAGCGCACAAGAGUGGAAUCCCGUAUUGAUUUGUUGGAUGGAGUUUUGCUGUUGCUGUUGGAUUUUGGAAUUUUGCUUGCCCUCACCUUGUUCCACUGACUUCAUGGAUCGUUCCAAGACGUUGUGGUUCCAGUGACUUGAACGAAAUGCUAUUACAGUAUUUCAUCAAGAUGAUGCUGACUUAAAUAUCAUGUACCUGAAAGCAUAUGGCUUAUCACUAGCAUGAAAAGAGCCAGAGAAACUUGUCAACUAGCAGCAUGUUUUUAACUGUGCUGAAAAUGUGGUUUUGUUUUAUUUCACAGGCAACCAUGUUGAGUAUCAAUUAUUUAAACAGUACAUGCCAACAAAGCAACCACAAAGACCAAGAUGUGUUCUUAUCCUGCCUGGUGAGAGACAAACAGACAGGCAGACAGACGGCCGCACGGACAGAUAGACAGAUGGACGCACAGACAGGCAGUCUCGACAGACAGACAGACAGACAGACAGGCACACACACGCCACAGUAGUAUACACAAUAGUAAUUCCAGCAAUACCCAUUAAACACCUCUAGGUAACAGUUAGGCUCUACAAAAACAUUCUUGAACUGAAAACUACAGGUGCACAAUAAUACUAAACAUAUUGUUAAAUUAAUGCCUAUGACAGUUUCCAUUAAAAGUUAUUAUUAUAUUUUUGAAGUAUAUAAUUCUAAUACAGCUCUUUAUCUAGCUAUCUCAUUGGACGGGACAACAUUUUUUUGUUGUAUCACACUUCAUGAUGCUUAUGUCAGCUUUUUCUUGCACCAGGGUUAAAACAUUAUUAAUUUCAUUCUAAAUGUGCAAUAUGAAAACAUGGUUUCCU